rnacentral:rRNA from 1 species
UCCGUAGGGUCCGAGCGUUGUCCGGAAUUACUGGGCGUAAAGAGCUCGUAGGUGGUUUGUCGCGUUGUUCGUGAAAACUCACAGCUCAACUGUGGGCGUGCGGGCGAUACGGGCAGACUUGAGUACUGCAGGGGAGACUGGAAUUCCUGGUGUAGCGGUGGAAUGCGCAGAUAUCAGGAGGAACACCGGUGGCGAAGGCGGGUCUCUGGGCAGUAACUGACGCUGAGGAGCGAAAGCGUGGGGAGCGAACAGG